rnacentral:rRNA from 1 species
AGCUCACUGGUCGAGUGAUCCUGCGCCGAAGAUUUCCGGGGCUAAAACUUACUACCGAAGCUACGGCAUCAGUAAUGAUGGGUAGGGGAGCUUCCCAUACGGGUUGAAGCAUGACCGUAAGGACAUGUGGACAGUAUGGGAGUGAGAAUGUUGGCAUGAGUAGCGAGAUGUGGGUGAGAAUCCCACAGGCCGUAAACCCAAGGUUUCCAGGGGAAGGUUCGUCCGCCCUGGGUUAGUCGGGACCUAAGCUGAGGCCGAAAGGCGUAGGUGAUGGACAACAGGUUGAUAUUCCUGUACUACCGAUAACCGUUUGAGAGAAGGGAUGACACAGUAGGAUAAGCUAAGCACACUGUUGGUUAUGUGUGCCCAAGCAUUGAGGCAGUCAAAGUAGGCAAAUCCGCUUUGAUAAUGCUGGGAUGUGAUGGGGAGCGAAAUUUAGUAGCGAAGUAGCUGAUUUCACACUGUCAAGAAAAGUCUCUAUCGAGGUUAAAGGUACCCGUACCGCAAACCGACACAGGUGGGUGAGGAGAGUAUCCUAAGGCCAGCGAGAGAACUGUUGUUAAGGAACUCGGCAAAAUGACCCCGUAACUUAGGGAUAAGGGGUGCCACCAUCAGGUGGCCGCAGAGAAUAGGCCCAAGCGACUGUUUACCAAAAACAUAGGUUUCUGCUAAGUCGCAAGACGAUGUAUAGGAGCUGACGCCUGCCCGGUGCUGGAAGGUUAAGGGGAUCUGUUAGAGCAA